rnacentral:rRNA from 1 species
CUUAAAGCUGUUCUCAGUUCGGACUGCAGUCUGCAACUCGACUGCACGAAGCUGGAAUCGCUAGUAAUCGCGGAUCAGCACGCCGCGGUGAAUACGUUCCCGGGCCUUGUACACACCGCCCGUCACACCAUGGAAGUCUGCAAUGCCCGAAGCCGGUGGCCUAACCACUUAUGUGGAAGGAGCCGUCUAAGGCAGGGCAGAUGACUGGGGUGAAGUCGUAACAAGGUACC